rnacentral:rRNA from 1 species
GACGAACGCUGGCGGCGUGCUUAACACAUGCAAGUCGAACGGAAAGGCCCUGCUUUUGUGGGGUGCUCGAGUGGCGAACGGGUGAGUAACACGUGAGUAACCUGCCCUUGACUUUGGGAUAACUUCAGGAAACUGGGGCUAAUACCGGAUAGGAGCUCCUGCUGCAUGGUGGGGGUUGGAAAGUUUCGGCGGUUGGGGUUGGACUCGCGGCUUAUCAGCUUGUUGGUGGGGUAGUGGCUUACCAAGGCUUUGACGGGUAGCCGGCCUGAGAGGGUGACCGGCCACAUUGGGACUGAGAGACGGCCCAGACUCCUACGGGAGGCAGCAGUGGGGAAUAUUGCACAAUGGGUGGAAGCCUGAUGCAGCAACGCCGCGUGCGGGAUGACGGCCUUCGGGUUGUAAACCGCUUUCGCCUGUGACGAAGCGUGAGUGACGGUAAUGGGUAAAGAAGCACCGGCUAACUACGUG